rnacentral:lncRNA from 1 species
ACUUCUCCAACGCCUUCAGCUCUUGCGGCAACCCAGUUAUGUCAGCCGAUGAUAGAUCAAGAUGAUGUAAUGAAACCAAACUUGAAAUCCCUGAAGGUAGUGUACUUAGGUGAAAAUUUUCACUGAGACUUAAUACUCUAAGAGACGACAUAGAUUGAAAGAAGCCGUCAGUGAUCUCCACAAUCGGAUUUUCAUCCACAAGUAAAGUUACGAGACGCGGACACGUGGGAAUUUCCGAUAGGCUUUCAAUUCCAUUUCCCAUCAGAGAUACCCGUUUGGCACCUUCCCAUUCUUCAAUCUUUGGUGCUUCGGUCAAUUUAACUCCAGCGCGAACCAGAAAGUUCUGCUCCUCCUUGUCUACCGUGCACGCUAUCCAUAAUGACAUCUCACGAAUCAUAUCGUGCAUCUUUACAUGAUCAUCGCCUUCUUCCUCCAAUAAGCAUGCUUGAAGAAGGUCAUCAAUAAAAUCGCAUCCAUCAUCAAAAUCAUAUACAAAUCCUUCACUAAUCCAGUAAUCAAUCAAUUCCCUUCUAGGAAUUUCGUAGUCUUCAGGAUAUAAACAACAAUACAGGAGACAGGAACGAAGUUCGUCCGUAGACAAACUAUCAUAGCUGAACUUUAAACGCGAAAACACCUCUUCUUUCAUACCUGAGAAUUUAGAAGCUGAUGUUGUCAUUUUGUGAAUUGCACGUUUCCAAUCUCCAACUUUCCUUUGGCUUUUCAUGGCUCGACCCACUGUUUUAAGCGCUAGCGGCAACCCACCACACUCUCUUGCCAGGGUUUCGGCUAGCUCUGGAAUACUGGUAUGACUGUCAAGAGUGGAUCUGUCGACCAUCUCCUGAAAUAAUUCCCAGGCUUUAUCAUGCGCCAAACUAUACACUUCCAACUUUUUAGCGUCCAUUUGAUCGCAAACACCAGCUGAACGAGUUGUCAAGACUAUUUUGGACCCAUCAUUUAGAUUUUGAAGAGGGACACCCAAUUGUGUUAAAUCAAUGCGCUCCCAUAUAUCAUCCAAUAACAACACAAACUUCUUUCCGCUUAAAAUUCUAGCGAUGUCCGCAGCCUUGUCUCGAAGACUUUUUUUCUCCCAGCUUGGGUCUUCUGAAAAGCCAAUCCUUUUUCCAAUGUCAUCUUGAAGUGUUGACGCAGCCGCCCAGAUAACAACAUCAAAAUUAUGCUGUUGAUGGCAGAAGUUGUUGUUGACUUGUUUUAAAAGGGUAGUUUUGCCGACUCCCCCUAUACCAUACAAGCCGAUAAUUCCCCUGUUAUUUUCCUCAUCAGUGAUACAUCGCCAAACUCGAUCCACUAGUAAUUCUUGACCAACAAUUGUUUGCGCAAGAGGUAAUUCAAUUGCUGCACCAUCUGGCGCCUUCUCAACAACGACUUCAAUUUUUUCUCCGUCCUUCCUUAAAUUGAUCACUCGAUCCGUCAACAUGACCACUUUUCUGCCGAAAUCGUAGCUUGAAGCCAAGUUUUUGGAACAGAGGCCUCCAAGGCACAAUCUAUCCAUUUCUUGAGCUUUAACUUGUUGCAGCUUCGUAAAUUCAUUUUCCAGUUUUUGCACAUCUUCAAGCCACCCUGCGACCUGGUUCGUUCGUCUGGUUCGAGGUCGUUGUUCUUCGACCUCAACCCUGGUCUUCAGAUCGUCCCUUGUUCGAGUCAAUUUGUGCAAUUCAGUCUCCAAGCCCUCAAGAUUUUUUUCGAGACCCCAUAUAUAUUUUGCUUGUUGACCAACGCAGUUUAAAGUUCGAUUAAAAAAGUCUGGUUGUAAGAAAGUUGAGAUUAAGUUACCCAUUGUCGUUCACGAAAAGAGGAAGAGAAGCGAUGGGUACAAUGAAAAGAAUUAUGCUGCUUUGGAGAGGGUUAUAUUUAGAGAAGCACAAUACCGAAAUAAAAAUAUGAUACAUUUGUUGCUUUAUAAUUCAUAUGUCAAAUAUCAAGAAUAUAAUGAUACGCUUACACGUCAUAUAAAAUUUGCAAUUCAACCCAGUAAUCACAUAGUUAAUAUUAAAUCUUAUCAUUUGUUAUCUAAGUGAUAAAUUUAUAUUGAUAAUAUAUUUUUUAGAAUAAAAAUUUUCUACCUUAACUUGGAUGAAGAUUCAAAAUAUUAAGUCAAUGAUAGAUAGAUAAAAAAUAAAAUAAAAUAAAUUUUAACAUUAAUUCCUGGAAUCUGUCACCAUUUUUUUCCCUUAGUAACAACCAUGUUCGCUUGAGAGACCACCACAACAUGAAUAAUUUCUUCUUGGUCGACCAAAUUGGCCUUAAGAGGCUUGUGAUCUCCCUUUCUAUACUUGCAUUUGAUAGCAAAAUGUCCACAAACAUAACAAUUGCCUUUUUAAGGAAUCAAACAAGACUUAAUUAGGCGAUAAACCAGUCUAUUGGCUAGAGCCACUCAAAGUUUGAAUGAAGGUAAUUUUUCUAUCAAGAGAAGAAUUGUAAUCCUUAGAAUAUUUGAGAUGAUUUUGAGUGGUGCCAUAUCAAAAUUGAUAUAUACUAAUUUUGAUAUAUAAUUAUAUGAUUAUAAAUAUAAUGAAUAAUAAUCUAAAAAAAAAUAGGCGAUAAAGUUUAUUACAUCCACGAACAUAAAGGUCACGUUCAAGUAAAUGUGACCGUUGGACGUUGACAGCCCCUAAAAAAGAACCAAAAAAAAUCUAAUUUGAUAAAACGACGUCAGGAUUCGAAAUGGUCACGGGUUAAAAAAUUUAUUGGAAGCAUAAUAUUAACGUGCGCUUGCUUCUUCCAAAACAGCAAGAGACUGAAUGCUGAGCCUCUCUGAAAAAGAAGCUGCGUUCUGUAAGACUGAAACGUUUAGCUGAGACCUUGUGUUAAUUUUUUACAACCCUAAACCCUAAACCCUAAACCACUUGCUCUUAAUUGUCACCCGCAUUACCGUAGGAAUAGGAUUUCUCUCUAUCUCAGUUUUACUAAAUUUUUAAAAAUUUAUUUUUAUGUGUCUUUUAAUUAUAGUAUAUAAAUAAAAUUUUAUUUUUUAAUUUUUUUAAUUUAUUAACUAUCAAUCAUUUUAAAUUAUUUAAUAUGAUCAGAUCAAAAGAAAAUUUUUAUCUUUUAAUUUAACUAUGUCAAUUAAUAUUACAUAUCCUAAUUUUCUUAAAUGAUGCGGCAUUUAUUAAUUAGACACUAAGAUAGCACUAUUAAUUUAUUUAUAUAUUUUAUAAAAAACUAUCAAUCACUUACAUUACAUACUAUAUUCUGAAAAAAAAAUUUGAGUUAUCUAUUAUUAUUUAAAAAGGAGGAGUAAUUUUGGUAUGCUAAGGUUAUUUCACAAACGUAAUAAAGAAAUUUGUGAUGAUGAACACAGUGAUAGGGCAAUUAUUGAAGCAGCAAUGACUUCGUCUGUUGCGCGUGGGAAAUCUAUUAGUAAUAUAAAGGAAAAUAAAAAGUACCCUAUGUCUUUUCAACUAUUAUUAUUUUUCCAAGGCGAACUAGCCAAAUAUGUAUGAUAAAUGUCCCUAAUAUUUUUUCUGUAAAUACAAAGACAAAUUAAAUUCAACUAGAACAAAAGUCUUUCACUGGAACCCAAUAGAUAAAAGACCAAAAUGAUAUCUAGACAUACCUCAUUGUAUAGCAAUGGAAGCUUACAAGUUAAAAUAGUAUUUAUAAUCUUUUGUAACUUUCAAAUUCUGCAUUGGAUUCUGCAACUCAUCAAGAUUAGCUUUUUAGAUCUCAUAUAUAUUUUAGCAUCUCCACGAAGGAAAAAUAAAAUAAAACUGCAAGAAUUGAGUCUGGUGAUAAGAAGCACGCAUGAGAAUGAUGUUACCCAUUUUUGUUAACAAAAAUUUCAAGGAAGAAAAUAAAGUGAGAAAGAAAGAAUUAUGUUUGUGAAAAUGGAAGAGAAGGUAGGAAUUGUAUUAUAAGACUGCAAUGUUAAGUGGCUUGGUUGUGUAGGUGAGACAUUUCAUCGAACUUCUUUACAUUUCCAUCAAACACCUUGUUCUUUAACCGUCUGUGACGUCCUUUAUACCCGUCCAUAGACAUUAAAUUGGCUGAUGUCAAGUGAAUUUGAGACUACAAAUGUGCAGCUCUUGCCUUAAUCUCCUUAGAAUCCUGAAGGGUGAAAACUUAUACCUUAUAGACUUAAGGUACGUUUAGGAUUGAAGUGUUAUAACUUUUAAGCUACAGUUGCUGUAAAAAAAAAAAAUUUAAAUAAUAAUUUUGAUGAAAUUAUUAAUAAUAAUAUAAUAAAUUCUCCAUUAUACAAGUGAAAAAUUAUAUCAACAUAUCUUUCAAGACACAACAAUUAGUAUUUACUAAACACUUUACUACUGUACCUUUUAAGGUACAGGUAUCCAACUUCAAUUCUAAAUGCACUCUCAUAUGUAUACCCUUUAUAUAAGGCUGAUAGAGUAAUGUAAACUAUAUUGUCCUUUUUUUCUUGUGUUAAUUGAAAUAAUUAAAACUCAAAAUUUGUAAGUGAGGCCACUUGAUUGCAGCAAAGGAGAGCAGUGAAGGGAAGAUAAAAUUUUACCGACAUUGAACUUGUUAUUUCUCUCUCUACUAUAUUGUAGUGUUUACUUUUUAGAGUGGGAGUUUGGAGUGUGGAGUGUGGAGUGUGGAUUCCUCCCACUCUCCCACUCUAGUGUUUACUUAUCUUAAAAAAGGGGGAAGUGGGAGUGGGAAUCCGUGGGUCCCACCCAAUUUUGGAGUGGGAAGUGGGAUUCCCACUCCCAUGGGGGGAGGUGGGAGUGGGAAUCCACUCCCCCCUCUUCCCAUUUUAUCCCUAUAAUUAAAUUAAUAAAUAAUAUUUAAUAAAAUAAAUAAUAUCAUAUUUAUUAAAAAUAAUAAUGAUAUCAUAUUUAUUUUAUUAAAUUUAAUAAAAUAAAAAUAAAUAAAUAUUAUAUUUAAAUUAAUAAUAUUAAACAUUAUUAAUUUUAAUAAAUAUUAAUUAAUUAUUUAAUUAAUAAUAAUAAAUAUUUUAUUCUAAAAAAAUAUUAAUUUUGUACUAUAUUAUCAAUAAUAAUAUUUCAUUUGUGUUGUUAUUAUUAAUAAUUUUUAUUCACAUAAUUUAAAUUAAAAUUAAUAAAAAAUUAUGAUUUACAUAAUUAAGAAUAUUAGUAAUUAUUAUUAAUUUAGAAAUAUAAUAAAAUAUUUAUUUUAUUUUCCAAAUAUUUUUUAUUAAUUUUUUAAUUAUAAAUUAUAAUUCUGUACAUAAGGAUAAAAUUGUAAUUUAAAACAAUUUACUCCCAAUCCAAGACAAAGUAAACAAAUAAUUAGGAUUCUGAUUGACAAUCUAUACUUUCACACCCUACUCUACACUCCUAAUCCAAGGAUUCCCACUCCUCAGGAUUCCCACUCCAAUCCAAAAAGUAAACGCAGCAUAUAUAUAUUAGCUUGUUGUUAAUUAUAAUCUUUGCAACCAAAUAAUGUAGAAUAUGUAUACGGGUGCGAAAUUUUCCAUAGGGAAUUCAGUGUUCGAUUUAAACUGCACUUUUAUAGUUUGUUCUCCAUUUACUCCUUACUUUCAGAUCUUUGUGACAAUCACAAUUUUGUCAACCAAAAUAAAGGUCGCAUUCAAGCAAAUUAAAUGUGACCUUUGGACAUUAGCAUCAACCUCUAAAGUGAUAGCAGUAACAAACAGCUCAGCACAAAUAAUUGAGGCCCUGCACUUUCAUUAGAGGAUGGGAGAAGAGAACACUUGAUUUGAUAGCAAGACGCCAAGACCAGGACAGAGACCAAGACGAAGACCGAUGAAAAGCCCUAAACAAACCAAAAAAUAAAAAUAAAAAUGCAGUUAUGAUUAUCGUCGAAUACUUCAAACAUACGACAAGUCCAAGUUUAGCUAAGGCCUAGUGUAUAAAUUUUCUACAAGCUGUUGAAUGAGAAAAUUUGUCUAAUUCUUAAGUCUUACCUGCCAAUCACAUCAUUUUAAAUUUAGUCUGUUGAGUAGAAUUUUACUUUUAUAAUUUUUAUCUCAAAAAUCUAUUUUAAAUUAUAUAAUAUUUAUUAAUUAAAUAAUAAAAUAGCAUAAUUAAUUUAUUUAAAUCCUAUAUUAAAUUAUCAAUCACUAAAUAAAUGACACAUUACAUACUAUAUUAUUUAAAAUAAAAAUUUAAAAUAUUUACCGUUACUUAAAAAAAUUAAUUUCCUUUUCCUAAAGUUAUUUCACAGACGCAAGUACAAAAUUCUGUGAUCAUGCACAAAGUGAUAGGGCAAUUAUUGAAUAAAUAUCUCACCAAAUAUAAUUAUAGCAAAUUAAAUAAAUAUUUACUAUGACUUCAGCAUCUGAGUUCCCACUCUAUAAAUAUGCCAGCAUUUUAAAACAAACAAGACUUAAGCGACAAAUACAAUUUUGUCGACGAGUAAAAAGGUCGCAUUCAAGCCAAAGGAGAAAUUCUUUCCAGUGGGAGGAUUCUAAAACCAAGAAUCCACUGCUGAAAUUUUAUUAACUGAAAAUAGAUAACGAUUGACACACCAGACAACAACAACAAGAUGCAAUUAAAUCUAAUGAAAAUUAAAAAAAGAAAAAAGAAAUACAUAUUCAAACAUAUUAAUGAAAAUCAUCCCCAAGUACGACACCGGAAGAGAAAGCAUUUUGGGUGGCUUGGUCCUCCCAUUGUAGCUCUUCCCACCAUUUUUUCGACCCCUCGAUGACAACUCGACGUUCCUUCGCGCUGCUGGAAUUGAGUGGGAGCUUCUUCAGCUGUCGGCAUUCACGUACUUCAAUUUUCUUCAGCUUUGGAAAGGGCAGGGGAUUCGGGUAAACGCUCUUUAAAUUUCUUCCCCACUUUAUGGUUAGAGAUUCGAGUUGUGCAAAAAAGUUAUGCUCUGACCCGAUUAUCUUCGAAAUAUCUCUCAAUUUAUCAACACUAAUUAUUUCUUCCGUUUCUGUACAAAAGACUAUACGCAGCUGCUUGAGAAUUUGAACAAAAACUAGCCACGUUAAGUCUUUCAUUUUUUUGCAACUCCAUAUGACAACUCUGUCGAGACUGCGGAAACCACUUUGAAAAAGUUUCUUUACCUCUUCUGUGCUGUCAGUCUUCAUCUCUUCCAAAUUACUGUCUGAAAUGCGUAACUCCUGAAGAUUCUCCAUGUAUGCUAGAUGUAAGACAUUGAACGGUGGACUUUCACAUUGGCAAACCAUUACAGAUUGAGUGAUGCUCACCAGCUUUGGAUAUUUCAAAAACUUUUGGACAGCAAGUGAACUUCGGAAGGUCCAGCUUAAAACAUUUAAAUGCUUCAAACCCAGCAAUUCCUUCAUCAAAGGUUCAGCAUCAUCACAUAGAACGUUACCUUCUAUUACGCUCCAGCGACCGCGUGAAAGCAACCUGAGUACCUCCAACUUUGAAAAGCCAGAUAUCAAUUGAUGUGGAAUUAUAGACAAAAACCGUGUAUAGUCCAAGUUCAAAUAUCUCAACUUCUCCAACGCCUUCAGCUCUUGCGGCAACCCAGUUAUGUUAGUCGAUGAUAGAUCAAGAUGAUGUAAUGAAACCAAACCUGAAAUCCCUGAAGGUAGUGUUCUUAGGGGAAAAUUUCCUCUUAGACUUAAUACUCUAAGAGAAGACAUCGAUUGAAAGAAGCCAUCAGUAAUCUCCUCAAUCCGAUUUCCACCCAGAAGUAAAGUUACGAGGCGCGGACACGUGGGAAUUUCCAAUAAGCUCCUAAUUCCAU